rnacentral:rRNA from 1 species
CUGGCGGCGUGCUUCAUACAUGCAAGUCGAACGAGAAUCUGGCUUCGGUCAGAGGAAAGUGGCGGACGGGUGAGUAAUGUGUAGAGAAUCUGCCCUUUAGCGGGGGACAACAGUUGGAAACGACUGCUAAUACCCCAUAUGCGCGUAGCUGAGAUGCUAUUCGUGAAAACUCCGGUGCUAAAGGAUGAGUCUGCAUCUGAUUAGCUAGUUGGGGGUGUAAUGGACCACCAAGGCGACGAUCAGUAGCUGGUUUGAGAGGAUGAUCAGCCACAAUGGGACUGAGACACGGCCCAUACUCCUACGGGAGGCAGCAGUAGGGAAUUUUGCGCAAUGGGGGAAACCCUGACGCCAGCAACGCCGCGUGAUUGAAUAAGCCCUUCGGGGUGUAAAGAUCUGUCAGUGGGGACGAAACUUGACGGUACCCACAGAGGAAGCAUCGGCUAACUCCGUGCCAGCAGCGGC